rnacentral:rRNA from 1 species
CUUGGUCAUUUAGAGGAAGUAAAAGUCGUAACAAGGUUUCCGUAGGUGAACCUGCGGAAGGAUCAUUAGUGAACGCCCUCACGGGCUUAUAACUAUUCCAAACCUCUGUGAACCGUGCCCUUCGGGGCUAUUUUACAAACAUGGUGUAAUGAACGUCAUAUAUCAUAACAAAACAAAACUUUCAACAACGGAUCUCUUGGCUCUCGCAUCGAUGAAGAACGCAGCGAAAUGCGAUAAGUAAUGUGAAUUGCAGAAUUCAGUGAAUCAUCGAAUCUUUGAACGCACCUUGCGCCCUCUGGUAUUCCGGAGGGCAUGCCUGUUUGAGUGUCAUGUAGACUCAAACCCUCGGGUUUCCGAGGAGAUUGGACUUGGGUGUUGCCGCUCUGCCGGCUCGCCUUAAAAGACUUAGCGGGAUAGCACCGUAGUCGGCGUAAUAAGUUUCGUCGGUGAAGGUUGUGAUGACUGCUUACAAUCGCCCUCGGGCAAUUUUUGACUCUGACCUCAAAUCAGGUAGGACUACCCGCUGAACUUAAGCAUAUCAAUAAGCGGAGGA